UACGUAGGGACAAGCGUUGUCCGGAUUUAUUGGGCGUAAAGAGCGUGUAGGCGGCCAAGCAGGUCCGCUGUGAAAACUCGAGGCUCAACCUCGAGAGGUCGGUGGAAACCGUUUGGCUAGAGUCCGGAAGAGGAGAGUGGAAUUCCCGGUGUAGCGGUGAAAUGCGCAGAUAUCAGGAGGAACACCAAUAGCGAAGGCAGCUCGCUGGGACGGUACUGACGCUGGAGACGCGAAAGCGUGGGGAGCGAACAGG
rnacentral:rRNA from 1 species